GCCAUAUCUUCAUGAGUCUCGGCAUCUGCAUGCAUUAAAUCGGGUUAGGGGUUCCGGUGGACGCUUUCUCAGCACAAAAAGGCUCCAACAGUCUAAUCCAACUUCCACCGGUAACGUGCAUGUCAUCCCAGAUACCAUCCAGUUGCAUCAAAGGAAUGAGACAUCAGAACUUGAAAGUUAUCGUUCAAGAACUGGCCAAUCUGGCACUUCAAGCACGACCUGCUCUGGUAUCACCAAUGUCUCUAGUGGUGCCGCCAUUUUUAGGCAGGCAGAUCACAGGUUCUCAAGCCUGGCUACCCACAUGGGAGGAAGCAUGCAAACCAGUGGGGGUCUUGUGUGCAGUGGGACCUAGCAUUGUGCUUCCAGUUGUCCGGAUACCAUGGUACCGGGCGGGCAAUUCAUCCUUGGCUUUGUGUAUCACUUGCUAUGUUAUUACCUUUUGUUACAAAAGGUGCAUCAAUGACUGAAUUGUGGUGUUUGCUUUCUACAAGUAUUGUGUUUGUUUUAACGUUACUGAAGAGGGUUGCUUUUUGGAUCGCACACUGGCGGUGGUGAUCCAUCACUUAACUUGGUUACUUUUAAAUGUUAAAUGUUCCGACUGUGCAAGUGUUUGCUUGUUGACGUCAUAUGUUAAAAUAAAAAUGUGUAAAUUGCU
rnacentral:misc_RNA from 1 species